rnacentral:misc_RNA from 1 species
UUUCAAGGGCUUUGUAUAAAUGAAUUUAGCGGACUUAAGUUUGAUCACCAGCAUUCAUUUGAUAUUGAAACUGGUGAACAGGCACUCGAGCGGCUCUCCUUUGGAGGAAGCCACAUUAAUGAUACUGUGAUAGCUCAAAGUAGAAUUUUGUUAUUUUGGUAUUGCACUACUUACCUUAUCCUCCAAAAAAACAAGCCCAAAUACCAACAGCUUGAGUCACUGCCUCUUGAACAAAUCCAACCACAGCUACAGCUUGAGCCCGUGGAACCUGACAAAGUCAAACAACUAAACCCUCCAAUGAAACAAGUCGAAUUGAACCAGCAGCUUGAAUCACCAGCUCUUGACCAAAUUCGACCAUUUAUCUUAGAAGGUGCUAAGUAAAGAUGUCUAUUGCAAUAAAGGAGGUAUCGUGCCUUUUCUGAGCUACUAUUAUAGAACAUGACAACAAUAAGUUGAUUUAUGUAUAUCUGAAACUGAAGCAGCUUAGAAAUCUCUCNNNNNNNNNNNNNGUCAUCUGCCAGUAUAAUUGAAUGUUGGCACUCUGGUAUUAUCCUCUAUUGCUCCAAAUCAUAUUCAAGCAUAUGCGCUCCCUGGGUAAAGACAAUGACUUAGCAUGCAUAGAAAGACAUAAGAGCAUAACAAUGUGUAUUCUUUUACCCAGCAUGAGCAACCAUUUUCGUUGACGUCAGUCUGUUCUGCCG